rnacentral:lncRNA from 1 species
UUUGGGAAAACUUCAAAAAACCCCCCUGUGGUUUCGUAGUUUCUCACUUUGCCCCCCUGUGGUUUAAAAUGUAUCAAUUUGGCCCCUGUGGUUUUAUUUUUCUUUUUUUCUUAUCAAUUUCAUUAUUUUUUUUUCCUUAAAUCAGUAAUAAAGUUAAAAUUAAAGGGUACUAAAAUGAAUAUUUGAUAAAUCUAGAUGGGUAUCUGAAGUUUUUUGUAUAUAAUUUAACGAAAUAUUAACAAAAAAGCUACCGAAAAGAUAAAAACGAAACCACAGGAGGGUAAAUUAAUACACUUUAAACCACAGGGGGGC